rnacentral:rRNA from 1 species
CCUACGGGUGGCAGCAGUGGGGAAUAUUGGACAAUGGGCGAAAGCCUGAUCCAGCCAUGCCGCGUGUGUGAAGAAGGCCUUCGGGUUGUAAAGCACUUUCAGUGGGGAAGAAAGCCUUGGGGCUAAUACCCUCGAGGAAGGACAUCACCCACAGAAGAAGCACCGGCUAACUCCGUGCCAGCAGCCGCGGUAAUACGGAGGGUGCUAGCGUUAAUCGGAAUUACUGGGCGUAAAGCGCGCGUAGGCGGUCUGAUAAGCCGGUUGUGAAAGCCCCGGGCUCAACCUGGGAACGGCAUCCGGAACUGUCAGGCUAGAGUGCAGGAGAGGAAGGUAGAAUUCCCGGUGUAGCGGUGAAAUGCGUAGAGAUCGGGAGGAAUACCAGUGGCGAAGGCGGCCUUCUGGACUGACACUGACGCUGAGGUGCGAAAGCGUGGGUAGCAAACAGGAUUAGAUACCCCUGUAGUC